UCCGUAGGUGAACCUGCGGAAGGAUCAUUAACGUGUUCGUUCGGCCGUUCGGGUCGGCCCUGCACCGACGGAGACGUCGUGCUGCGGGCUCCUGGACGCGCCUUCCAAACCAAACCCCUGUGAACCUUUGGGAGGGUCGAGCCUUCGCCGGCGACGCCGUCCCCUUUACAAACUCUUGCAUCUCAUAGAAUGACCGCGGACAUCGUCUGCCUAAACACAUAACAACUUUCAACAACGGAUCUCUUGGCUCUCGCAUCGAUGAAGAACGCAGCGAAAUGCGAUAAGUAAUGUGAAUUGCAGAAUUCAGUGAAUCAUCGAAUCUUUGAACGCACCUUGCGCCCUUUGGUAUUCCGAUGGGCAUGCCUGUUCGAGUGUCUUGAAUUCAUCGCCGCCUCCGGUUUUGCGACCGGCUGGCGGCGGACUUGGGGGUCUGCCGCGGCGACGCGGCUCCCCUCGAAUGCAUCGGUGGGGUCUCCGAGCACCCACGGGCGUUGUAUUGUCCUCGUCCGACCGGGCCUCGCGUCCCCCGCCUCGACUGCCGUCUGAGCGGCGGUCAAGCACACUUUGGAAAUCUGGACCUCGGAAUCCAGGGGGGUAGGGGGACUACCCGGCUGGAACUUAAGGCAUAUCAAUAAGGC
rnacentral:rRNA from 1 species